UACGUAGGCAGCGAGCGUUGUUCGGAGUUACUGGGCGUAAAGGGUGUGUAGGCGGUUCUUUAAGUUUGGUGUGAAAUCUCCCGGCUCAACUGGGAGGGUGCGCCGAAUACUGAGGGACUUCGAGUGCGGGAGAGGAAAGUGGAAUUCCCGGUGUAGCGGUGGAAUGCGUAGAUAUCGGGAAGAACACCGGUGGCGAAGGCGGCUCGCUGGGCCAUUGCUGACGCUGAGGCGCGAAAGCGUGGGGAGCAAACAGG
rnacentral:rRNA from 1 species